rnacentral:rRNA from 1 species
ACUCCCGUUGAUCCUGCGGGAGAUUGCUGCUAUGGGAGUUCGAUUAAGCCAUGCAAGUCAGAGGGCUGUCGCAAGACAGCACAGGCUGAAUGCUCAGUAACACGUCAAUAAUCUGCCCUAAGGCUCAGGAUAACCAUGGGAAACUGUGGAUAAAACUGGAUAAGGGAUUGGUACUGGAAUGUCCUUUCCUCUAAAGGUAACACCUUAGGAUGAGUUGGCGGCCGAUUAGCUUGUUGGUAGGGUAACGGCCUACCAAGGCAACGAUCGGUACGGGCCGUGAGAGCGGUAGCCCGGAGAGGGGUACUGAGACACUGACCCCAGCCCUACGGGGUGCAGCAGGCGCGAAAACUUUACAAUGUACGUAAGUGCGAUAAGGGAACUCCCAGUGCUCAUGCAUAAGCAUGGGCUUUUGCCAAGCGCAAAUAACUUGGAGAAUAAGUGGUGGGUAAGACGGGUGCCAGCCGCCGCGGUAACACCUGCGCCACGAGUGGCAAUCGCUUUUAUUGGGCCUAAAGCGUUCGUAGCCGGAUGAGAAAGUCUUGAGUGAAAUCGUUGCGCUUAACAAAACGGCGCGCUUGAGAUACUACUUAUCUUGGGACCGGGAAGCGUUAGGGGUAUUCCUGAGGGAGCGGUAAAAUGCAAUAAUCUCAGAAGGACCACCUGUGGCGAAGGCGCCUAACGAGAACGGGUUCGACGGUGAGGAACGAAAGCUAGGGGAGCAAACCGGAUUAGAUUCUGGGUCUUUUUGUUGUUGUAUAGGUUAUUAUUUUGUCUGUUUGCGAAAUUUACGAUGAUAAAAUAAACUGAUCAAAGGGCACCAGCUAAUUACCCGAGUAGUCCUAGCUGUAAACGCUGUGUACUAGAUGUUGCAUAUUCUUCGUGAAUGUGCAGUGUCGGAGUGAAGACAUUAAGUACACCGCCUGGGAAGUACGGUCGCAAGGCUGAAACUUAAAGGAAUUGGCGGGAGAGCACCACAAGGGGUGCGGCGUGCGGUUUAAUUUAACUCAACGCAGUGCAUCUCACCAGUAGCGACGGCAGAAUGAUGGUCAGUCUGAAGGGCUUACCAAACGAGCCGAGAGGUAGUGCAUGGCCGUCGUCAGCUCGUGCCGUGAGGUGUCCUCUUAAGUGAGGUAACGAGCGAGACCCAUACCUAUAAUUGCCAGCGGGUGCUACGGCAUGACCGGGCACAUUAUAGGGACUGCCUGGGAAACCAGGAGGAAGGUGUGGGCAACGGUAGGUCUGUACGCUCCGAAUCUACUGGGCUACACGCGCGCAACAAUGGCGAGAACAAUGGGAUGCAACACCGAAAGGUGAAGCUAAACCUCCAAAUCUCGUCUUAGUCUAGAUUGAGGGUUGUAACUCACCCUCAUGACACCGGAAUCCCUAGUAAUCGGGCUUCAACAUGGCCCGGUGAAUAUGUCCCUGCUCUUUGCACACACCGCCCGUCAAACCAACCGAGUUGGGUCUAGGUGAGAUGUAUCUUUGAGGUAUAUCGAAUCUAGAUUCGGUGAGGUGGGUUAAGUCGUCACAAGGUAGCCGUAGGGGAACCUACGGCUGGAUCACCUCCU